CCUACGGGAGGCAGCAGUGAGGAAUAUUGGUCAAUGGACGCAAGUCUGAACCAGCCAAGUAGCGUGCAGGAUGACUGCCCUCCGGGUUGUAAACUUCUUUUAUCUGGGAGUAAAACGGGCCACGUGUGCCCCGUAUUGUAUUUACCAUCAGAAAAAGGACCGGCUACUGCCGGGCCAGCAGCCGCGGUAAUACGGAAGGUCCGGGCGUUAUCCGGAUUUUUUGGGUUUAAAGGGAGCGUAGGCCGGAUUUUAAGUACGCUGGGAAUGGCGGGGGAUCAACCAUGGAAUUGCAGCUCAAACUGGCGGGCUUGAGUGCGAGGAGGGAAGGCGGAAUUCGUGGUGUAGCGGUGAAAUGCUUAGAUAGCACGAAGAACUCCGAUUGCGAAGGCAGGAGACGGCAGCGCUACUGACGCUGAGGCUCGAAGGUGCGGGUAUCGAACAGGAUUAGAUACCCGGGUAGUC
rnacentral:rRNA from 1 species